GGGUCAGUAGGUUGGUCGUGCCACCGGUACGUACUGGUCUCACUGAUUCCUCCUCCCUGAAGAACCGUAAUGCCAUUAAUUUGGUGUUGCGGGGAAACAGGACUGUUACUUUGAAAAAAUUAGAGUGUUUAAAGCAAGCUAACGCUUGAAUACAUUAGCAUGGAAUAAUGAAAUAGGACGAUCGAUCCUAUUUUGUUGGUUCCUAGGAUUGACGUA
rnacentral:rRNA from 1 species